rnacentral:lncRNA from 1 species
GAAGCAACGUGAGCUCAGGCACUGCUUCGAGUGAGGAGGUACAUGCCUUUGUGGGACUGUUUGUACUCUAGCAAACACAGUG